CCUCAUGAAGCUGGAGUUACUAGUAAUCGCAGAUCAGAAUGCUGCGGUGAAUGCGUUCCCGGGUCUUGUACACACCGCCCGUCACACCACGGAAGUUGGGGGCGCCCGAAGCCACUUAGCUAACCCUUUUGGGAAGCGAGUGUCGAAGGUGAAAUCAAUAACUGGGGUGAAGUCGUAACAAGGUAAC
rnacentral:rRNA from 1 species